GAUGAACGCUGGCGGCGUGCCUAAUACAUGCAAGUCGAGCGAACAGACGAGGGGCUUGCUCCUCUGACGUUAGCGGCGGACGGGUGAGUAACACGUGGAUAACCUACCUAUAAGACUGGGAUAACUUCGGGAAACCGGAGCUAAUACCGGAUAAUAUAUUGAACCGCAUGGUUCAAUAGUGAAAGACGGUUUUGCUGUCACUUAUAGAUGGAUCCGCGCCGCAUUAGCUAGUUGGUAAGGUAACGGCUUACCAAGGCAACGAUGCGUAGCCGACCUGAGAGGGUGCUGGGCCACAUCGGACCAGGGACGCGGCCCAGUCCCCUAGGGGAGGCAGCAGAAGGGAAUUUUCCGGAAAGGGAAAAAGCUUGACGGAGCAAACCCGCAUAGGUGAAAAAGGUCUCGGGAUCGUAAAACGCUUUUUAUGGGGAAAAAAAAAAGAUGAAGUAAAUAUGCGCGUCUAGGCUGACACUAAUCAGAAAGCCCCGGCUAACUACCG
rnacentral:rRNA from 1 species